rnacentral:tRNA from 1 species
GAGGGGUAUAGUGGUGUUACUGCUAAUAACACAGAGGGUGUAAAAGUCCACCUCUYU